GAUCCUGGCUCAGAUUGAACGCUGGCGGCAUGCCUUACACAUGCAAGUCGAACGGCAGCACGGGAGCAAUCCUGGUGGCGAGUGGCGAACGGGUGAGUAAUAUAUCGGAACGUACCUUUCAGUGGGGGAUAACGUAGCGAAAGUUACGCUAAUACCGCAUAUUCUGUGAGCAGGAAAGCAGGGGAUCUUAGGACCUUGCGCUGAUUGAGCGGCCGAUAUCAGAUUAGCUAGUUGGUGAGGUAAAGGCUCACCAAGGCGACGAUCUGUAGCGGGUCUGAGAGGAUGAUCCGCCACACUGGAACUGAGACACGGUCCAGACUCCUACGGGAGGCAGCAGUGGGGAAUUUUGGACAAUGGGGGCAACCCUGAUCCAGCCAUGCCGCGUGAGUGAAGAAGGCCUUCGGGUUGUAAAGCUCUUUCAGCCGGGAAGAAAACGCAUGGGUUAAUACCCUGUGUGGAUGACGGUACCGGAAUAAGAAGCACCGGCUAACUACGUGCCAGCAGCCGCGGUAAUA
rnacentral:rRNA from 1 species